rnacentral:lncRNA from 1 species
GUGGGUGCCAAUACACUACCCAACAAUCAUGGAUCAAAAUUCUUCAUCAGACUAGAAAUAUUAAAAAAAUUUCUUCAUUGAUAAAUCGAUCAAGAGAGAGAAAUCGAUUGAGAGAGAAAUGACUUUAGAGAGAGAAAAUUUUAGAGAGAGAAAAUUUUAAAAGAGAAAAUUCAUCUUGGACUCCUCAGACGAUAUGAUUCAACAAAUUAGAUCGAUCAGAUCAAAUCAUGCUAAGAUUAUCAUGUGGAUAAUUCAAUAAAAUUAUGAAAAAUAGAAUCUUAAAAAUAUCUAAUCUGAUCAAAGUAGAUGUCGGUGUACCGUCCAACAAUCAC